UGCAUAUCAAUAAGCGGAGGAAAAGAAACCAACAGGGAUUGCCUCAGUAACGGCGAGUGAAGCGGCAAGAGCUCAACUUUGGAAUCGCUCCGGCGAGUUGUAGUCUGGAGGCGGCCGGUCCGCCUUGCGCAACCAAAUCUAAGUCCUCUGGAACGAGGCGCUUGAAAGGGUGACAGCCCCGUGGAUUUUUGUUGUUGUGCUUGGCCCCUGGUCUGCCGACGAGUCGAGUUGUUUGGGAAUGCAGCUCUAAGUGGGUGGUAAAUUCCAUCUAAAGCUAAAUACCGGCGAGAGACCGAUAGCRAACAAGUACAKUAAUGGAAAGAUGAAAAGCACUUUGAAAAGAGAGUGAAACAGUACGUGAAAUUGUUGAAAGGGAAGGGCUUGCAGCUAGACAACUGUCAGCAUCGGGUGGAGCGGAACUAAAAGUGGGAGCUGAUGUAGCAACCCCCCCGGGGUUGCAUUAUACAACUCUCAGAUGGUUCCUGCUUC
rnacentral:rRNA from 1 species